AAAUGCGGAAGAGAUAAGUGCUGAAAGCAUCUAAGCACGAAACUUGCCCCGAGAUGAGUUCUCCCUGAGACUUUAGAUCUCCUGAAGGAACGUUGAAGACGACGACGUUGAUAGGCCGGGUGUGUAAGCGCAGCGAUGCGUUGAGCUAACCGGUACUAAUGAACCGUGAGGCUUAACCUU
rnacentral:rRNA from 2 species